rnacentral:lncRNA from 1 species
AAUAAACACCAAGUAUCAUCCAAGUGGUAAUUUGGAUCUUAAAUAUUCCUGUCUGAGUCUUUGAAAAGAAAGAGAAGCAACAUUCCAGAUCACUGGUUACAAAUGAUCAUAAUCUUUUUCAUCUAUGGAGAACUGUAAUUAACAGCAGGAAUAUUUGCAGAAGUGGAAGAAAAAUUGUUUUCUAUUCAAGAGUAUUGUGGGUCAAGGAUCAGUGAAGAGGAGUACACUUGCAAGGAGCUAUGAGGAUCACUCUCAUUCAAGACAGAUUCUUUAGAGAACUCAGCUACUAGCUCUUUGAAAAUUUCUGCAGGACAUGUGUAAGUGACAUUU